UACGAAGGGAGCUAGCGUUGUUCGGAAUCACUGGGCGUAAAGCGCACGUAGGCGGAUGUGCCAGUCAGGGGUGAAAUCCCGGAGCUCAACUCCGGAACUGCCUCUGAUACAGCACGUCUUGAGUUCGAGAGAGGUGGGUGGAAUUCCUAGUGUAGAGGUGAAAUUCGUAGAUAUUAGGAAGAACACCGGUGGCGAAGGCGGCCCACUGGCUCGAUACUGACGCUGAGGUGCGAAAGCGUGGGGAGCAAACAGG
rnacentral:rRNA from 1 species